UACAGAGGUCUCAAGCGUUGUUCGGAUUCAUUGGGCGUAAAGGGUGCGUAGGCGGCGCGGUAAGUCGGGUGUGAAAUCUCGGAGCUUAACUCCGAAACUGCAUUCGAUACUGCCGUACUUGAGGACUGGAGAGGAGACUGGAAUUUACGGUGUAGCGGUGAAAUGCGUAGAUAUCGUAAGGAAGACCAGUGGCGAAGGCGGGUCUCUGGACAGUUCCUGACGCUGAGGCACGAAGGUCAGGGAGCAAACGGG
rnacentral:rRNA from 1 species